CCAGCUCCUGUGGGUCACAGAGACAGCGUGAGGCCAGUGAGCCUCAGGACCCAGCACACCGUGAGAGCGCAGAGGGGCUGCACCGGAGGGGCCAAGAGCACAGCAGGGCUCUGGACGGGAGUAGGGUCGGCUUCUCACACCUAGGGGCCACAGGCCAGGCACUGCUGCGGUGCUCACCUCCCUCUGCCCUGGCCCCGGCCUGGUCUGCAGCACAAGGGAGCUGGUGCUGCACUUGCUCGGGGAUCUGCCCUGGGUCAGUUGGCAAUGUGCCGAGAGGCCCUCAACAGCACAGAUUGGGCUCGGGUGGAGCUCAUCAGGUGCGCGUAUGCCAACAAUUCACAAGGGCCUGAGUUCACUGCCCAAAAGAGAACACAGGCCAGGUGCCAGGGCUGCCAAGCGUGGACACCCACGGCCUUGUGAAUGCUCACAAUUACAGCCGCCCCCACCACAGCUCACUUCCCAAGGUUUCAGCUGCGCGGUCAAUCAUAGCCCCAAAAUAUUAAGUGGAGCAUCCCAGAAAUAAAUAGUACAUGAGUUUUAAACAACACGUCAUUCUAUCUUAUUAUUGGUUAUUAUUGCUCAUCUCUUACUGUGCCUCAUAUGUAAGUUAUCAUAGGUAAAUAACAUCAUUAUAAAUAACUUCUAGUUCUUUCCCUUUUCUAUUGUAAUUCUGAGUAAACUACGUACGUGGCUUGUAUUACCUUUCUGUUGUAUACUGCUGGUCUGGGUCAAAGCCCCAACAAUAUUUUAAUCAAAAUCAUACUUGUCUAAUUAUAGUUAAAAUACAUGGACCUGACCCAAAUUGUACUUGUCAAGAGCAGGCUGUCAGGCUGAGUCGGCCUACUGAGUGGGUCCUGAAGAAUGCGACCCCUUCCCAGCUGCUGCGGGCAGGCAGGCGCUGGUGCCUGUGAGUCCUCCUGUUCCUGACCCGGUUCAGAUGUCUGCUGCCUGGGGCUGUCGCAUGUUCACUCCCGGCUGCAGUGGCCUUGCGCUUAGGAGAGUGAUGUGGCUGGCUACAAAAUCUGCUUUCCUGGAGUGCUGGCAAAGUUCUGAGGAUAAGUAGAUUGUCCCUCUCUGAUACCUCUGCUCAAAGGGUUUUCUUCUUCUCCUUAAAGCCUAAUACUUUCCUGCAGUUUUUCUUGAUGCUAGCCAUGAGAGCCCGUUCCCCAGCUGUGGAUGCUGUCUAAGCGGAAGAUGUGCGCCCCCCACACCUAAGCCCGCAAGGCUCAGGAGCUCACAGCAGCCCCCAGACAGUCGCUAAGCCGAGGAAACCUCUGCAGAACAAACUUCAGUGUGGGACGAAAGGGAUGCGGGCAUGCUUCUGCACCACCCUGAAGUCAGAAAACUGCGUCACCUCAGCCUAACUUGGGACCAUCGCACUCUGACAUCUUCUAUUUUAUCAACAUUGUCUUGAAAUAAAAACUUCAAUCUUUGUUCUGUUCAGGAAUCCAACUCGGGUCCUUCACUUGCAAGGCUGGCGGCGGCACCACUGAGGGCAGACAGAUCCCAGCGUUUCCGGCACUGGCUGCAGCCAACUCACCUGGACAUGCCUCUGCUUCAGCAGUGUCU